rnacentral:ncRNA from 1 species
UAUAUUUGCAGCCGAAUUACAUAAUAAUCAUUUAAAUAAUAUUGGAAUG